CAAGUUUGACGAUUGGAUCGUCGAAAAAUGUUUUGGAUCGUCGAAAAACGUUUUGUAGAAUGCGUAUCGCAUCAAAACGGUAGAUUAAACAAACACUUCCCCAUCAAGUAUAAAAUAAGAUCUUGUGGUAUCCACUAGUGUAUAUAUUUUAAAUUGAAGAUCGAAUUAGUUAAAUGCAUUCUUAUAAGGUUAAGGAGUGUAGCUGUAAAAAAUAUCAAAAUCGGAGCUAAAAUAACCGUUAAAUUGUGAUUUUUUGUUUAUAACCGUGGAAAACUUUUGUUUUGUUACCUAAUCUCUGAAUGUUUGUUUUUUGUGAUUUUUUAUGUAUGCGAUCUCGGAGUGUGUACAAACAAAUUUGACGAUUAGAUCAUUGAAAAAAGUUUCAUAGAAUGUGUAUCGUGUCAAAACGGUAGAUUAAAUAAAGACUUAAAGAGUUAAUGUUAUACUUCCAUUAAGUAUAAAAUAAGAUUUUGUGGUAUUCACUAGUGUAAAUAUUUUAAAUUUAAGAUCAAAUUUAUUCAUUACAUUCUUAUACGGUCGAGGAGUGUAGUUGUAAAAAAUCAUUAAAAUCGGACCUAAAAUAACCGUUAAAUUGUGAUUUUUCGUUUAUAACCGUCGAAAACUUUUGUUCCGUUACGUAAUCUCUGAAUGUUUGCUUUUUACGAUUUUUUACGUAUGCAAUUUCGGAGUGUGUACAAAUAAGUUUGACGGUUGGAUCGUUGAAAAAAGUUUCAUAGGAUACAUAUCGCGUCAAAACAGUAGAUUAAACAAAUAUUUAAAGUUAAUAUUAUACUUCCAUUAAGUAUAAAAUAAGUAGUGUAAAUAUUGAAGUAGGAAAAGUAAUUUGUGCUAAAUUUUUAUUUAUGUUUUUCAAGUAUUGAUUAGACAAUAUUUAGUUUGUGUGAUGAUAUUUUCAUUGUGCAAUUAUCUUUUUGUUUCUUUAUUGCAUAUUUUACAUGGGUUAUUAUCUAUUAAACCAAACAAUUAUUUAUU
rnacentral:lncRNA from 1 species